rnacentral:rRNA from 1 species
UCAAGAAACUUCCACAAUGGGCGAAAGCCUGAUGGAGCGACGUCGCGUGAUGGACGAAGUGCUUCGGCACGUAAACAUCUUUUAUGUGGGACGAAAUUAUUGACGGUACCACAUGAAUAAGGGGCUCCUAACUCUGUGCCAGCAGGAGCGGUAAUACAGAGGCCCCAAGCGUUAUCCGGAAUCACUGGGCGUAAAGGGUGUCGAGGCGGUCAUGUUAGUCGUUCGUAAAAUCCGUGGGCUCAACCUACGGCCGGCGAGCGAAACGGCAUGACUUGAGGUUUGGAGAGGUGCGUGGAACUCACGGUGUAGGGGUGAAAUCCGUUGAUAUCGUGGGGAACACCAAAGGCGAAGGCAGCGCACUGGCCAAAAUCUGACGCUCACACACGAAAGCUAGGGUAGCGAAGAGGAUUAGAUACCCCAGUAGUCCCUGAGCGGGCUGGCAAGGCGCAU